rnacentral:rRNA from 1 species
UUUGGCUGCAGUCGAGGAUCUUCCGCAAUGCGCGAAAGCGUGACGGAGCAAUGCCGCGUGCAGGAUGAAGGCCCUCGGGUUGUAAACUGCUGUCACCCGGAACGAAUCAAUGACGGUACCGGGAGAGGAAGCCACGGCUAACUACGUGCCAGCAGCCGCGGUAAGACGUAGGUGGCGAGCGUUAUUCGGAAUUACUGGGCGUAAAGAGUCUGUAGGGGGCGUGCCAAGUCCGGUGUGAAAUUUCGGGGCUCAACCCCGAACAGCCACUGGAAACUGGCGUGCUCGAGGACAGGAGAGGAGAGUGGAAUUCCAGGUGUAGCGGUGGAAUGCGUAGAUAUCUGGAGGAACACCAAUGGCGAAGGCAGCUCUCUGGCCUGUACCUGACCCUGAGAGACGAAAGCUGGGGGAGCAAACAGGAUUAGAUACCCCUGGUAGUCCCAGCCGUAAACGUUGUGCACUCGGUGUGGGGCGGUUUGGUCCGCUCUGUGCCUUAGCUAACGCUUUAAGUGCACCGCCUGGGA